UGGUUUAAUCAAAAUAAUAAAAUCAGUCAAUAGGCCACUAGCUGGGCUUUAAACACUAUUUUAGCAGAAUAAGGAAAGCGCAUAAUCAUCUCUGUUUUUGACAGCGUUCCCAAAUGAGAAAAGAAACUCGAAGCUUGAGUUCCACUGCUAUUUGGAACACGACUGUUUAAAGAGCAUACCUGAGUUGCUGAGCAAUAGAAGGCUAAUGGAAAGCAAUGACGGACUCUGCACAACCCGCAGAAGAGCUCCAUGGUGCACUGGAGUCAGAGGUAUAGCUGUGAGACAAACCAGGCAUCUAAGCAUAAUGCCCAGGGAUUCAUAUCAACUUCUAUUCCUGUGCUCUGAGACCAUCCAACAGCACAAAAGGGCGGAAGUUCUUACCGCUGGACAUGAAUUCCACUUAUGGAGUGAGCUCUACACACGGGGAGUGAUGAAGCAGGACUACUGGCGGAAGGGUUCCACUACUCCACCAUUGCCCAGAAGAGCUGAUUGUUAAACAUUUAUCAGCACACUACUGGGCAGAUGCUCUUUGAGAACAGAACUAACUUCCGAUGCAAACUUGGGCUGCUGAGCUGAAGAGGAUUUCGAGCGGGGCCUCCCUUUAAGGUUAAGAAGAUGUACCUGUGCAGAACUUACAGGGUUCGGGGGGCAGAGUUUGUACUCUGUGCUGCCUUCUGUAAGAUGGAUUAAAAU
rnacentral:lncRNA from 12 species